rnacentral:rRNA from 1 species
UACGUAGGGACCGAGCGUUGUCCGGAUUCAUUGGGCGUAAAGAGCUCGUAGGCGGCUGUUCAAGUCGAACGUGAAAACUCGGAGCUCAACUCCGAGCCUGCGUUCGAUACUGGACGGCUAGAGUCUGGUAGGGGGAUCUGGAAUUCCUGGUGUGAGCGGUGGAAUGCGCAGAGUAUCAGGAGGAACACCGGUGGCGAAGGCGGGAUCCUGGGCCAGUACUGACGCUGGAGGAGCGAAAGCGUGGGGAGCAACAGG